AUCACCUAAUUUGAGGGGAAAAAGUAUUAAAAACCAAAAUAAAGUUUAUUUUUUUUUAGUAAAUCUUUUUUUAUCAAAUUAUGUAAUUUUUUUAUAUUUUUAAGUUUUCUUGCCAAGAGAAAUAAAAAACGUGUAAAGUUUUAUUUAAAAAAUUUAUUAAAACGAAAAAACUUCCAACAAUCGUGUCUACCUAACAAUACUCACUAAUAGUCUCUAUCUUUUCUCCGCCUAAUUAAUUUCAUUUCUUCUUCCCCAUUUCAAAUACCACAAUCAACCAUGGCGUACCACACGGAUUGAUGGAAGAAUCUGAACCCGAAUUUAGCAAUCGAUUCUCAUCAAAUUUCUUAAUUUUCUUGAAUGACCUCUUCCUUUGCAGAGGAGUUCUUUGACAGGAAAAAUGCAGAACGAAAAUGGCAAAAAUUUAAUGAGCUAUAUUUCAAAAGGGAAAAAAGAGCGAAACAUUCCGUCUCCGAAAGUGGAAAGCAUACCUUUGCAGUUCAAUACAAAGCUGGAGGUUGGGUACUUCUUCUUUCCACUACGUUUGAGUAUGCUGAAGUGGGGGUUAAGAUCCCCGAAGUAGAGGUUUUUGGAGAGUGUUCAUGGAGUGAUCACCCUCCACACCCCCCCCCCCCCCCCUCCCCCCUCCGAACGAUAACGAUACUGUUUUGAUAAUGCUGAAUUUUUUUUUUGUAUUGAUCAAAACGAUGCCAUUUUGUUUAUCAAAACCGGCUUUGUUUUGAUUUUGCUGAAUUUUUUUUUCUUUCUUCUUCCUCAGAAUACAACUUAGUCGAGACGACGCUGUUUGUGUAUAUUGGAAGUCAAUUAUGAUGGGUUUGGGGGCUCAAAGUACCAUUUCAGUCUUUCAUUUGGGCUGUUUCGCGACUUGCAAGUUCGCAUCAAGCCUGUAAGUGUCCAUUGCGUUCCUAAGGUUUUUUUUUUCCUUGCACUUAUUUGUUCUUAUCCCAUCUCUUGUGAACCCAAAUUGUCUUUUUUUAAAAUGGAACACAUCACUCUCUCGGAUACUGCAAGCUGUGUUUUAUUACGAGAGUGAGAAAAAUUUCAGCAAAAUCAAAACGACGCCGUUUUGAGCACUAAAAAAAAAAAUCAGUAUUAUCAAAAUAACGUCAUUUAUUCGUUUUGUUAAAUGAAGCGGCGUCGUUUUGAUCACCCCACCCUCAAAGUAUUGAGUAAUUAUCACUUUGCUCUCCAAAUAAUAAUUUUCUCAAUUUACCCAAUUAGUUGCAAUCAAGUUUAGUCUCCAACAUCUGUCCAAUUUCUAAAGGAAUAUUACACGUGGGCGCCACGUGAAAAAGCCAAAACCUUUUAUCUAAAAAAUACAACUCAUAUCCCCUCCCCUCCCCUCCUAGACAUCCACCCACCGCCAUGGGCAUCAACCUUCCACCGCCGCCGCGAAUCGCAAGACACCAUGUAUCUCGCUCUCACACAUGUAUCUCUAGACAUGUAUAUAUGAGUUCUCCUACAAGUUCCUCGUCCGAAUACGUCCUCCGACCCGUUGCCUGCUUAUCUGGUGAGCCACAUAAGCACCUGAAACUUAGCUUUUGCUGGUAUUUCUGUGCUUUUUGCUUUUGUUUGCUUCUCGUUUAGAUAGGUCUUGUCAACAAGUUUCCUUAAAAGGCAUUGGUUUAGAAUUUCCCCAACCCCACUGGCAUUGGAUACAACGCUUAAAUGAUUGAAUAUUUCACAGUUCACUUUCAUGUAUAAUGUCCAACUGGUAUUGUUUGGCAAUCUUAAAAUGAUUGAACAUUCCACAUUUCACUUUCUGUAGAAUGUCCAACUAUUUUAAACAAGUUAACAGAUGACCUAGGGGGCCCCCCGCCGGCGGCUCUCGAUAACAAUCCUAAGCUAAUGUGUAACUAUCAGGAGAGUUGUCCCGAGUCCAGGACUCUGCAAGCAUUAAAAGUACCCCGCAUAAAAACCUAUUUUGGAUACCUACAGAAGAACACAAUUCGGAAUUCACAACCGGUCUUCCCCUGUAAGUGACCACGCAAUACAUAGGGCCACUUCCUUCACAGCUUGUGUGUACUAUAAAGAAUAUCGUGAAAUGAUAAUCUUCCGUUUUCUAUUCAACGUGACAACACAAUCAUCCCAAAAUUAGCUCUUAGUUUUCAGUAUGAACAUGUCUGAGGUAAAUAAUAUUAGGAAACAGAAGCGAAAAAGUGCAUAAGAUAAGACAAUCCAGCAUCAUUGAUCCAUCAUGGUAGAUGUUGAUCAGGCUUCUGCAGAUCUACUUUAGUACUUUGUCUAAACUAAAGCCUGCAAUUGAGUCUGUCAUGUUCGGUGCUCACAUGACUUCUGGUGA
rnacentral:lncRNA from 1 species